rnacentral:lncRNA from 1 species
UCUCCACUUUGGUUGGCUCAAAUAUCUCCAAUUCUUCGCAGCCAUGACCUUUUUGGCUAUGUUGAUGGCUCGGUGCCUUGUCCACCCAAGCAUCUCCUAGCAACAAAUACUUCUAUACUGAAUCCUGCUUAUCUUAAUUGGGUGCAACAAGAUCAGACCAUUCUCAGUUGGAUUAACAACUCAUUGAGUCCGACAAUAUUGGCUACUGUCACUCUUUCCCCCACUUCUCGCAAAACUUGGGAAUCUUUGGAGCACCGUUAUGCGUCCACCUCACAUAAUUGGAUUUUACACUUGCGAAAUGAGUUUCUACGUACUAUUAAGAGAGAUAUGUCCAUUUCUGAAUUUUUAGACAAAAUGAAUUUGAUUUCUGAUAAUUUGCCUCUUGUAGGAAGUCCCCUCACAUAUGAUUAUCUGGUCUCCAUCAUCAUGAAUAAUGUCAGGGCUGCAUUUGAAGUCAGUCAGUGUCGCACAAGCUUGUGAUGCUCCAAUCACGUCUGAAGCUUUGGGGGCACUUUUACUGAGUGCUGAACGACGUAUAGGGGAACAGUCACAGCUUAUUCCUAAUCUGAACACAGGGAUUACUACCUUUGUUGCUUCACGUGGCCAUGGCAAUAGAGGGCGUUCUCCUAGUUGCAAUUUUUCAUGCAACAUAAAUUAUGCUACUACUCGUGGGCCUAGUCAAUUCCGGUCUAAUUUCCCCAAUCAACGAUCUUUCAGUACUCCAUGCGAGUCUUCUUCUUCAGUCCCUGGUCGUUCCAUUUUCCAGAUUUGCAACAAGCCUAACCAUCAAGCUUUGGACUGCUUUAAUAAAAUGAAUACUGCAUAUGAAGGCCAAAUUCCAGCAAGCCGUCUCUCUGCAAUGGCCACCCAGCCUAACACUGCAAAUUGA